ensembl:lncRNA LINC01509 long intergenic non-protein coding RNA 1509
AUAUCGCAUAGCCUAGCGCUCCUAGGCUACAAACCUGGACAGCAUGUUACCAUACUGAAUUAUGUGCGCAACUGUAACACAAUGAACCUCCUUUAGACGUCCUUCACUUCCAGGAUCCAGUCCAAACUCCUGGGCUUGGCACAUGAACCCUCCAUCAUCUGGCACCUGGCAGCCCACAUGCUGGAGCCUCACGGAUUUGCUCAUCGCCCUCUGAACACCUGUGGCCUUCUCACUCCUCUGUGUCUUUGCACAUCCUUUCCCCAACCUCAUGCCAGGCCAUUGCAUUGUGAUCCAGGCUCAGUCUUCGUUCUGCUUCGUGGCAUCACAGUCCCUUAUUUGAAACUGAACCAGGACUGCAGUCUUCGACUUUGACAUCAAAUUUGACACCUCAGUGGCCCAAGCUUUCAGAAACUUGGAAUUGCAGACAUUAUGGAUUUGGACCUGCCCUCAGAAGGUUACUAUGAGGACUAAAUACAUUCAAAGUACAUGCAAGUA